GACAGAGGGUGCAAACGUUGUUCGGAAUUACUGGGCGUAAAGCGCGUGUAGGCUGCUUCGCAAGUCGGGUGUGAAAGCCCUGGGCUCAACCUAGGAAGUGCACUCGAAACUGCGAAGCUCGAGUCCUGGAGAGGAAGGCGGAAUUCUCGGUGUAGAGGUGAAAUUCGUAGAUAUCGAGAGGAACACCGGUGGCGAAGGCGGCCUUCUGGACAGUGACUGACGCUGAGACGCGAAAGCGUGGGGAGCGAUCCGG
rnacentral:rRNA from 1 species